rnacentral:lncRNA from 1 species
CAGGGGGCUAUGACAGAAAAGAUGGGAACAAAGCUGUGGCUGAGAACAACACAGAUCUUGUUGCUUAUGGUCGUUUGUUUUUGGCUAAUCCAGAUUUGCCUAGGAGAUUUGAGGUUGAUGCACCACUCAACAAGUACAAUAGGGACACCUUUUACACUCAUGAUCCAGUUGUUGGUUACACUGACUACCCUUUUCUUGAAGCCACUGCUUGAGGAUCACAUGAAAUUUAAGUUAGGGUUUAUUUUAUAUUCUUUAAUAUUUGAUGUUUCAAAUUUGUUUAAUCUGUAUUUUCAUUUUUUGAACCUAUAAUAUAAUGCAACAGAAACAGUAUAAUAUUUUACAUGUAAUAACAUCAACUUUAUUGAUGUGAUGCUUUGAUAUUGAAAAAGGAAAAAGUAAUUUAAAAAACAUUAAAUGUGUUUCAUAAGAAGAGGACUGCAACAACAAUAACAAAAAUACUCUUUCUAAGGUCUGCUCAAAACGGCUCAAAAAAAAAAAUUAUCAAGAGAAAUAAUUAUGAGCAAUUCCUUUAAAGUUAUGGAAUGGACUUAGAAUUAAACUCUCAAACAAACUUAGAAUAAAAGAGUUCUCUAAUUUUUUUUCUUAUUUGUCAAUACGUGAGUUUUUUUUAAAAAAAAGUAUAUCUCUUAUUUAUCAAAGUUACUUUUAGAGUACAAGAGAGUUGAUCCAAUGUGUAAAAGAAAAAAGGUUUUGGAUGUCCAUAUUUAAGAAGAGGGUUGGAUCAAAUAGGUUUAAAUUAUUAAUGAAAUAGUGAUUAGUUCAUAUCUUAACUUUGAAAUAGUUAAAAUAAUUAAUAAAGUACAUCACAAAUUCAUGCUUUCGAUGCUUCUCAUUUUAUUGCUCAAUACAUUCAUUCUUUUGUUAGAUAGGAUGAGAAUGGUUUUCGGAUUGAAGAUGAAUUUAAUAGAGUUGUUUUCAAUCUAAAUCCUGAUCGUGCCUAUGAACCAGAUGGCUUUGUGGGAGCUUUUUUUUCAUGGUUGUUGGAAUAUUAUUAGUAGUGAGGUGUGUGUUGCUCUUAAGCAUUUUUUUCUCUCUUUCUGGGAUGAAUAAUGCUAAUUUGAUUGUUUGAUUCCUAAGUUUCUCAGGAUAGAGGAUAUUAAAGAUUUCAGACCUAUUAUUGAUGUAGCAAAUUUCAAGUUUCAAGUUGAAGAUUAUUUCCAAAAUUCUUAGUGACACACUUGAAAAGGUUUGCAGUAGAAUUGUUUAUCAUAACCAAAAUGGCUUUAUUAAGGGAGGAAUAUAAAAGAUUGCAUAUGCAUGAUCUCUUAAGCUAUUAACUUGAUAUCUAAAAGACUCAAGGGAGGUAAAGUAGCUUUUAAAAUUGAUGUUACUAAAGCUUUUGAUACUUUGAAUUGCAAUUUUUUGUUACAGGUUCUACUACAAUUUCUUUUUUACCCUAAAUUUAUCAAAUGGAUACAUUGUAUACUAGAGUCAGUUUUUCCUUCCAAUCAGGAUAAACGGUAGUUCAUUUGUUAUUUCUCUUGUAGUUGUGGGUUUAGGCAAGGGGAUUCCUUAUCUCCUUUUCUCUUUUUUUCUUGCAGAGAAGGUUUUUUGUAAAGAUCUUUCAUAGUUAAUUCUUGAUCAACAAAUUCUCCCUAUGGCGUGUCCUAAAAGAAGUAUUUUCCAUUCUCAUAUGCUAACGACAUAACUGUCUUCUGCAGGGCCAACAAAAAAUCUUUAACUACUCUUAUGGACUUUCUUCAUAUAUGUGGUGUUUUCUCUGGUAAGUGGAUUAAUAGUUCUAAAAGUUUGUUUUUUACUGUGCAGGACACUCCUUCUUUUUAUGAUCGCAUUAAAAACAUCUUAGGCAGCAAUAGGGGUUCCAUUCCUUUUAACUAUCUUGGUCUUCCUAUUUUUUUGAGUGCUCCUAAGACCUGUUACUUUCAACUUUUGGCUGAUAAAAGUAAGUUAGCUUCUUGGAAAGGUAAAAUCUUAAGCAUGAUGGGGAGGCUUCAGCUUGUUAAUUCCAUCCCUAUCUGGUAUUAUGGCUUAUAGCUUUCAAAUCUAUAGAUGACCUCAUUCUCCUUUAAAACAUGUUAAUAAAUGGGUCAAAAAAAGUUAUUUGGACGAGGAAUGUUAAUAAAAAAAAGGUCUAGUCCUAAGGAGUGUAGAGGGUUGCAGGUUCUAAAUUUGUAGGUUGAAAAUAAGGCAUGCCUUCUUCAACAAGCUUGGGAGUUUGCUUACAUCAUGCCUUGGGCCAGAUUUAUGAAGUCUAAAUAUGUUAAAUUUUCAACUUUUCAUUCUUUCUUUAUUUGUCAAGGGAUAAAAGGCUAUAAUUAUGACAUUGUGCUUGAAAAUACUUCUAGAUUUGGGAAGGGUGAUAGGAUUAACUUUUGGAUUGAUUUGUGGUGUUCUCAAAGGUGUAUUUCUUUUUUUUUUUUGCUCGGGUUUUGUAUGAGAAACACUAGUACAGAAAAUGGAAUCUACGACCCCGUAUAAAGACAGUUCAUAAAGAACAGUAGUAAUAAAAGAGGUGAUGGUAACUUUGUAAUUUUUUUCCCAUUUUUAACGACGGUUCUCACCUGAACCAUCGUUAUAUGUACAUUCAUGUGCAAAUAACAACGGUUCCCUCCUGAACCGUCGUUAUAAAGUUGCUUGAACUUAUUCGUUCGCAUGGGCUCUUCCUUGACACUCUCACUCUGACUCUUAACUCACUUCAUCUCCUCUCACUCCACUUCAUCUUCUUCCAUUCUCCCAAGCGCCGCCCCUGCGCCUCCCUCUACCACCAUUGCAAACUCAAAUGGUCUCUCCUGCACACUAAACCUCGUCGCUCUCUCUCCGCGAGCACCGCACACUCUCCAUCAACGCGUUCUCCAUUAAUGCACCAACACCGCGCGCUCCAACCUUUACGGUGUGCCGCCUCCGGCCUACCCUCUCAGGCUCUCUUCCCGUGCCCCAAGCUCUCUUCCUUGCCUCUCUCUCCCUCUCCACCACAGUCAACGCCUGUCUCCUUCGUGCCCCAACCCUCCGCACCUCCAGCCACUCCAUACCUUCUCCACGUGGUGCGUAUCUGUCCGUGUGCACAACCCUUCACACCGACAACACCUCCGGCGCCAACCCUUCACACAGGCUGCAUUUCCACACGCUACCAGGACGUCCAACACCCUAAACCCUAAGCCUCCUUCUUACCUCACCACCACAGACGGACUCGGCUGCACACGCACAUAAAAGGUUAGUAUUUUUAAUUAAUUUUAUAAUAAAUAAAUAUUUGCAUGUAUAUGUUGAUUAGUUAGUAGUUUAGGGUUUGUAGGAACUUCAUUUAGUGGAUAUUUGAUGGAGAAGAGUGAUAGAUUUAGGGUUUAGGAUUUCAUGCCAAAAAUUAGCACGAAAAAACUUCAAACAAUCAUAACUUUUGACAAAGAAGUCGGAUGGAGAUGCUUAAAAAUGAAAGUAGCUCGAAACGAGGUAAUAAAUCACGUGGCCAAUUCCUGAAGGGGAUUAGGGUCCACCAAAAUUUCAAAAAUCCACCAUUUACUAUUAUUUUUUUAUUUUUAAGUAUUAUUUAGGUAUUUUUCAAGUAUUUUAAGGUUUUAGUUCUCAUACUUUCACUUGUCAGAAAAUUAUGAAAUUUUGCAUCAUGUUUCCUACUGUAAAUUAGAGAUUUAUCAAACCAUUGUGAUUAUAUUACAUUCACAAAUUUAUUACUCAUACAUUACAUAAUGUUAUGUGCUCUAACAUGAAAUCUUAUUAUUUCAAUGCUUAUAAUAUGCUGAGUGGGAGGGAAAGUGCAAAUGCAAAAAAAACCCACUUGGAUGCACCUUAAGGUAUUUAAAGUUUAUUUGUUCACUCAUUUUAAUGUGUCCAAUUCACUUAUUUUAACUUGGCAAUGCAAUAAGCAAUUUGGAUGUCAACUAUGUUCAGCUGAAAUUUAGAGGUUGGGAUUAGGUAAUACCUAUAUACAAAAACACUUGUAUAGAUGAAUUAUUAGAAUGACAUAGAACUUUUUCAUAUAUUUGUAGAACUUUUUGUAGAAUGUUAUAUGUACUAAUUUAUUGUAUGUAGACUUUCAUAUUUAAAUUAUGAUAUUACAUGCAUUAUUGUUAUGAAAAUUUAAUAUUUUAUGCAAGAUUAAAGUGAGUAUAUAAUAAAAAACCAUUUAAAAAAAAUACAUUUAUAACGAUGGUUUCAGUGGGAAGCAUCUUUAAAAGCCCGCCAGAAGCACUUAUAAUGAUGGUUUCCAAAUUGGAAUCGUCGUUAUAAGUGUUUUUUUUUAUUUUUUCAUUUUUUGUGUCAUUAAUGUGUAUAAAUAGAUGAUUUAUAACAACACCCGUAGUAACAACGGUUUUAGGAUCGUCUUUAUAUGACCUUUUUAACUAUCGUUAAAGGGCUUUUAUGUAGUAGUGAAAAGAAUAAAGUUCUCUACUAUAGUUGCAAGUGGUUGGAUUGGCAGUGAAUGGAUUAUAUCUUGUGAUCUUUGGUUACAUCCUGAGCUUAUAUCUUUGAAUAAUCUGAUUGUAUAUGGUUUAUCUGAUGUUCUUAAUGUAGUUUGGAAGACAUUGGGCUUUUGUUCCAAAUAACUGCCAGGAAUUUCUUUGUUUCUAACUCUCCUUAUGAUUGGGAUAAAUUAGUUUGUUUCGUUUCUUUACCUCCCUCAGAGUCUCUUGUUUUUUGAAAAAUUCUUGAUAUACACCUCCCUAAAUAUUGAGGCUCAUAAAAAGGGUGUUGAUUUAUGCGUUAUGUGUUCUUUGUGUAGGGUGAAAGAGGAAAGUAUUGAUCAUUUAAUUUUUUAAUUGUUCUAUUAUAGAGUAUUGGCUUGAUAAUGUUUUUCCAUACAUAAUUAACAUUUAGGCAUGAACUUGGUUGCUUUCCUUAAGUCCUCUAAUAUUCCUAUUAUUCAGCAUCUUAGACCUACCGUUAUUACGUUCACUUUAUGGAUGAUUUGGCGCAUGAGAAAUCAUGUAAGUGCAUCAAUAUGGAUUAUCCUCUCCACAUGAUUAAGGAUCACAUUUGUAUCUCUUUCAAGUUGUCUAAGAAGAAUAUGUCUAAUAAUAUUCAUGAUUUCUCUACUUCUUUAAUGUUUGUACUAGAUCCGGGAAAGUUAUGACUCUUAUUCAAGUCUUAUGGCAGUUUCCGGAGGUGUGGUGGAUCAAAGUUAACAUGGAUGGUGCUACUUGUGGGAGUCCUAGUUUAAUUGCUUGUGGAGGCAUUUUUAGAGGUAGUCUUGGUGAGUACAUUUAUGGAUUCUCUACCUUUUUGGGGAUUCAUACUUCCGUAUAUGUUGAAAUUAUAGGUGUCAUUGUUGCUAUGGAGCAUUCGUGUAUUAUUUCUUUUCAUUUAUUACAUCUUACAUUUUUAGGCAAAUGAUUGGUGAAUUUCAAGGUGUCAGCCUAGAUGAGAUUCGAAUAUUCAUAGUAAUGUCUAACAUGUAGUUUUUUAUAUAAAAAAUAAUAAUUAUUGUCUGGAGAAAUGGAUUACCAUAAAGAGAAAGUGUUUUUCAAUAACCAGAGUCAUACGUCAAUCCAAGAUAAUAGAAAGUUGAAAUGGUUAUGGUCUAACCUGUAUGUACAACAAUGUCAAUCUCACAUAAUUGUUCUUUUAAUAAACUAUUUCACAACAUAUUGGCAAUACUACAAUAUGGAGACUGAAAAAAUGUUAUAGAAAUAAGCUACCAUCGUCCAACUAGAAUUGUCAAUAAAAAACUUGUAUACGACACAAUACAAAUACAAAAUGAUGUUGAUGCCUAACAAAUGAUUAAUCAUUGGAAAAGUACUCAACUUCUUAACCCAAGUGUGCAACGUAAAGAUUUCAUUUCUCUCUAUUUUUCUUAUAUAUAUUUAUAAUUAAAUAUUAUUACACAAUAUUUAUUAUUAUACUUUAUAAUUACUCAUUAUUUAUUUACAUCAUCUUCCAUUUUAAUUACGAUUUAUUUCUCAUUUUAAAUUUUAAUAUUAUAAUUUAUACACUUUAUUUUUUUUAAACACAAUGAUACACUUAUUCACUUUAUUUAUAAUUUUUUAAACCAUUCAAUUAUUUUUUUUUAUAAAAUAUUCCAGCAAUAUUAUUUAACUUUUGCUAUUACAUUUUUAUAUCUUUUUUUAAAAAAAAAUACCAUCAUUUUAUAAUUUAUUAUAAUUUUAUUUAUUAUAAUUUUAUUUAUUAUAAUUUUUCAACCAAAUUGAAUUUUAUUAUAAAAAUAUAUCUACAAAUUUAUUACAAUUUAUUUUUCACAAUUCAAUUUUAUUAUAAUUAAAAAAAAAUAAAAAACAAUUUUUCAUUUAUUUUUUUCGUAAUACUUAUAAAAUAUUUUAUUUCAUUCUCUUGAUAUAAAUAUUAUCCUUUAUAAAUUUUAAUAUUUUUUAUUUUUAAUUGUCAAAUUUUAUAAUUCCUUCUAUUUAAAUUUUAUAAAUAUUUAAAUUUAUUAACAAAAUUUAAUAAUUUAACCUUACAUAAUUUAAUAAUCAUUUAAAAUUCACUCCCCAUUUUCAAAAAAGGUGAUCUUACGUUGAUUUGCCCACUCCCAUCACCGUACUCCAACGUUGAACACCCUUCAAAGUUUUUAAUAAUUUAAAUUUUUUAAUGGAGUAGUGGACAAAAAUGCCCUUAGACACAUUGCCACGUCAUAGUCGUAUGUUGUGUGGUGGCGCAUUGGGUUCUGAAGAAAGUACUUUCCAAUUGAAAGAGAACGUGAGCCCUUGCGUCAUAUCGUGGGACAGUUAUAAAUUUUAAUAAUAAUAUAUUGAUUUUUUUUUUUUAAUAUUUUUUUAUAUUAUUUAAUUAUAAAUUUAUUUUUUAUUAUUAUAUUAUAUCUAAAUUAAUUAUAUCAAAAAAAUGAACGCCUUCAAAGAAGAAUUCUGUGUUAGUAACAUUUAAUAUUAACAUUGAACGCACUCCCUUACAUCAUAUCAUUGGACUUUGAUCCAUGCACCUAACAUCUAUAAAUACACAACUCAAUCUGAAUUAACACAAUCAAAGUGAAGGAGAACAAAAGGGCAACUACACAAAAAUCAAUUUCAAAGGAAGAAGACAACUAAGUUUUACACAAAAAUGGGUGAAAGUAAUGAUCUCAUCCCUCUUCUUACACCUCACAAAAUGGGCAACUUCAAUAUUUCCCACAGGUACUUUCUCUUGCUUCUUUACUUUUUCUUCUCAUUUUAUCUAUCUGUCAAACAUGCAAAUAACAUUUAACUUACUUAAACUUCAAUUCAUUAGCUAAUAAGCCAUUUUAAGAUGAACUGUGUUCUUAUAUACACAUGUGUCUGUGUCAAUCAAUAGGUUCUUUAAUUUUCAUUUCUCUUAAUUCACUUGAGAUAAAAUUGAAGGGUUUUUGUUCUGUCAUGCACCUACUUUCGUGGUCUAAAGUUUAUAUAAUUAUGCUUCUUUUUUGCAUUUUCAGAAUCGUUUUGGCACCAUUAUUUAGAGCAAGAUCUUACAAUAAUGUUCCUCAACCCCAUGCUAUCCUCUAUUACUCCCAAAGAGCUACCAAGGGAGGUCUUCUCAUUGCUGAAGCUACUAGUAUUUCACCCUCUUCUAAAUAGUAAGUUAUUUGCAUUUUAAUUAACUACCUAUCCCUAUCAUAUUUAACCUCUCACACCAUAUAUCUCUCAUAUUCAACAUAUAUUUAUUAUAUAGCCACUCAACCGCACCUAGUAUAUGGUCAAGAGAGCAAAUCCAAGCAUGGAAACCCGUCGUGGAUGCUGUUCAUGCCAAAGGUGGAAUAUUCUUCUGUCAGCUUGUUCAUGUUGGAAGGGCUUCAGAGCAAGGUAUGUAACUAACCUCAUCACACUUUUCAGUACAAUGUCUGCUUUAAAUUACAGUUUCUUAGUCAAUUUUAUAGAAUGUAAUCGAUCAGAUUUUCAUUUAUUUUCCUUACAGAUGAUGACCCAAAUGGGGAACCUCUGAUUUCAUCAACCAACAAACCAUUAAAAUCUGGUAAUGGCAUGGAACCAAGGUCGUUACAGACAGAUGAAAUUCCUUCUAUAAUCAAUGACUUCAGAAUUGCGGCAAGGAAUGCUAUGGAAGCAGGUAAAUAAAUGAGUUAUAUAUAUGAAUUCAUACUCUACAUAUAAGUAUCACAUGAAUUGUAUUCAUAAAGUAGACAUAAAAAAAUGCAUUCACAUGGAUGAGUGGAGUUCCAUAUUAAUACUAUAGUCAUGAAGGUCUUCAAUUUCUAACCACAAUUACUGGUAUAGGGUUUGAUGGAGUUGAGAUUCAUGGAGCACAUGGUUUUCUGAUAGAACAGUUUUUGAAAGACCAAGUUAACGACAGAAGAGACAAGUAUGGUGGAUCAUUGGAGAAUCGUUGUCGGUUUGCAUUAGAAGUUGUUGAAGCUGUUGUUGAAGAAAUAGGAGCAGAUAGAGUUGGAAUGAGACUAUCACCUUUUUCAGAUUACAAUGAAUGUAGUGAUUCCAACCCUCUGGCAUUGGGUCUCUACAUGGCCCAAUCUCUCAACAAACAUGGUAUUCUCUACUUGCACAUGGUUGAGCCAAGAUGGAACGUUGGUGGGGAGAAUAUGGAAAGCCCUUACACUCUUGCACCAAUGAAGAAGGCCUUUAAUGGCACCUUCAUUGUUGCAGGGGGCUAUGACAGAAAAGAUGGGAACAAAGCUGUGGCUGAGAACAACACAGAUCUUGUUGCUUAUGGUCGUUUGUUUUUGGCUAAUCCAGAUUUGCCUAGAAGAUUUGAGGUUGAUGCACCACUCAACAAGUACAAUAGGGACACCUUUUACACUCAUGAUCCAAUUGUUGGUUACACUGACUACCCUUUUCUUGAAGCCACUGCUUGAGGAUCACAUGAGUUUUAAGUUAGGGUUUAUUUUAUAUUCUUGAAGAUUUGAUGUUUAAAAUUUGUUUAAUUUGCUUUUUUGAACCAAUAAUAUAAUGUAACCGAUAUAGCAUAAUAUUUUGAAUAACAAAAUGUGGUUGUCUCA